GUAGCUUGCUACCUGACCUAGCGGCGGACGGGUGAGUAAUGCUUAGGAAUCUGCCUAUUAGUGGGGGACAACAUUCCGAAAGGAAUGCUAAUACCGCAUACGCCCUACGGGGGAAAGCAGGGGAUCUUCGGACCUUGCGCUAAUAGAUGAGCCUAAGUCAGAUUAGCUAGUUGGUGGGGUAAAGGCCUACCAAGGCGACGAUCUGUAGCGGGUCUGAGAGGAUGAUCCGCCACACUGGGACUGAGACACGGCCCAGACUCCUACGGGAGGCAGCAGUGGGGAAUAUUGGACAAUGGGCGCAAGCCUGAUCCAGCCAUGCCGCGUGUGUGAAGAAGGCCUUUUGGUUGUAAAGCACUUUAAGCGAGGAGGAGGCUACUUGGAUUAAUACUCUUGGAUAGUGGACGUUACUCGCAGAAUAAGCACCGGCUAACUCUGUGCCAGCAGCCGCGGUAAUACAGAGGGUGCGAGCGUUAAUCGGAUUUACUGGGCGUAAAGCGUGCGUAGGCGGCUUUUUAAGUCGGAUGUGAAAUCCCUGAGCUUAACUUAGGAAUUGCAUUCGAUACUGGGAAGCUAGAGUAUGGGAGAGGAUGGUAGAAUUCCAGGUGUAGCGGUGAAAUGCGUAGAGAUCUGGAGGA
rnacentral:rRNA from 1 species